AGGUAUGUAGCUCAGUUGGUUAGAGCACCACCUUGACAUGGUGGGGGUCGUUGGUUCGAGUCCGAUCAUACCUACCA
rnacentral:tRNA from 3 species